rnacentral:misc_RNA from 1 species
AAGUCGUAACAAGGUUUCCGUAAGUGAACCUGCGGAAGGAUCAUUAUUAAUAUUUUGGUUUAUACCAACAAUAUAUGUGCACCGAGGGAGUGUCCGCACUUCCUCACCUAUUAUUACUAUUGUUUUACCAGUCUUGAAAUCUGUCAUCAGGGAGUAGCCGCAAGGUGCUCUCUGCUCUGACUCUAAGGUGUAAAAACUUUUAGCAACGGAUCUCUAGGCUCUC